rnacentral:rRNA from 1 species
GCAGUGGGGAAUAUUGGACAAUGGGCGAAAGCCUGAUCCAGCCAUGCCGCGUGUGUGAAGAAGGUCUUCGGAUUGUAAAGCACUUUAAGUUGGAGGAAGGGCAGUUACCUAAUACGUGAUUGUUUUGACGUUACCGACAGAAUAAGCACCGGCUAACUCUGUGCCAGCAGCCGCGGUAAUA